GACGAACGCUGGCGGCGUGCCUAAUACAUGCAAGUCGAGCGGACCAAUAGAAAAGCUUGCUUUUCUUGAGGUUAGCGGCGGACGGGUGAGUAACACGUGGGCAACCUACCUGUAAGACUGGGAUAACUUACGGAAACGUGAGCUAAUACCGGAUAGUUUCACUUCUCGCAUGAGAAGUGAAGGAAAGAUGGCUUUUAGCUAUCACUUACAGAUGGGCCCGCGGCGCAUUAGCUAGUUGGUGGGGUAAAGGCCUACCAAGGCGACGAUGCGUAGCCGACCUGAGAGGGUGAUCGGCCACACUGGGACUGAGACACGGCCCAGACUCCUACGGGAGGCAGCAGUAGGGAAUCUUCCGCAAUGGACGAAAGUCUGACGGAGCAACGCCGCGUGAGCGAAGAAGGUCUUCGGAUCGUAAAGCUCUGUUGUUAGGGAAGAACAAGUACCGGAGUAACUGUCGGUACCUUGACGGUACCUAACCAGAAAGCCACGGCUAACUAC
rnacentral:rRNA from 1 species